GAUGAACGCUGGCGGCGUGCCUAAUACAUGCAAGUCGAGCGAACGGACGAGAAGCUUGCUUCUCUGAUGUUAGCGGCGGACGGGUGAGUAACACGUGGAUAACCUACCUAUAAGACUGGGAUAACUUCGGGAAACCGGAGCUAAUACCGGAUAAUAUAUUGAACCGCAUGGUUCAAUAGUGAAAGACGGUCUUGCUGUCACUUAUAGAUGGAUCCGCGCUGCAUUAGCUAGUUGGUAAGGUAACGGCUUACCAAGGCAACGAUGCAUAGCCGACCUGAGAGGGUGAUCGGCCACACUGGAACUGAGACACGGUCCAGACUCCUACGGGAGGCAGCAGUAGGGAAUCUUCCGCAAUGGGCGAAAGCCUGACGGAGCAACGCCGCGUGAGUGAUGAAGGUCUUCGGAUCGUAAAACUCUGUUAUUAGGGAAGAACAAAUGUGUAAGUAACUGUGCACAUCUUGACGGUACCUAAUCAGAAAGCCACGGCUAACUACGUG
rnacentral:rRNA from 1 species